UACGGGGGGGGGCAAGCUUGUUCGGAAUUACUGGGCGUAAAGGGCUCGUAGGUGGCCAACUAAGUCAGACGUGAAAUCCCUCGGCUUAACCGGGGAACUGCGUCUGAUACUGGAUGGCUUGAGUUUGGGAGAGGAAUGCGGAAUUCCAGGUGUAGCGGUGAAAUGCGUAGAUAUCUGGAGGAACACCGGUGGCGAAGGCGGCAUUCUGGACCAAUACUGACGCUGAGGAGCGAAAGCCAGGGGAGCAAACGGG
rnacentral:rRNA from 1 species